AUGAACGCUCGCGGCGUGCCUAAUACAUGCAAGUCGAGCGAACAGACGAGGAGCUUGCUCCUCUGACGUUAGCGGCGGACGGGUGAGUAACACGUGGAUAACCUACCUAUAAGACUGGGAUAACUUCGGGAAACCGGAGCUAAUACCGGAUAAUAUAUUGAACCGCAUGGUUCAAUAGUGAAAGACGGUUUUGCUGUCACUUAUAGAUGGAUCCGCGCCGCAUUAGCUAGUUGGUAAGGUAACGGCUUACCAAGGCGACGAUGCGUCGCCGACCUGAGAGGGUGAUCGGCCACACUGGAACUGAGACACGGUCCAGACUCCUACGGGAGGCAGCAGUAGGGAAUCUUCCGCAAUGGGCGAAAGCCUGACGGAGCAACGCCGCGUGAGUGAUGAAGGUCUUCGGAUCGUAAAACUCUGUUAUUAGGGAAGAACAAAUGUGUAAGUAACUAUGCACGUCUUGACGGUACCUAAUCAGAAAGCCACGGCUAACUACGUG
rnacentral:rRNA from 1 species